GGAAUCAACGCUGGCGGCGUGCCUAACACAUGCAAGUCGAACGAGAAAGUGGAGCAAUCCAUGAGUAAAGUGGCGACCGGGUGAGUAACACGUGACUAACCUACCUUCGAGUGGGGGAUAACCUCGGGAAACCGAGGCUAAUACCGCAUAACAUCGUGAGAUCAAAGCAGUAAUGCGCUGGAAGAGGGGGUCGCGGCUGAUUAGCUAGUUGGCGGGGUAAUGGCCCACAAGGCGAAGAUCGGUA
rnacentral:rRNA from 1 species